rnacentral:rRNA from 1 species
UUGCUUUCAUGAGAGUGGCGCACGGGUGCGUAACACGUAUGUAACCUACCCAUAUCAGGGGGAUAGCCUCUCGAAAGAGAGAUUAAGCCCGCAUAACAUCAGCAGAUGGCAUCAUUAGCUGAUCAAAUAUUUAUAGGAUAUGGAUGGGCAUGCGGAACAUUAGCUAGUUGGUAAGGUAACGGCUUACCAAGGCUACGAUGUUUAGGGGAUCUGAGAGGAUGACCCCCCACACUGGUACUGAGACACGGACCAGACUCCUACGGGAGGCAGCAGUAAGGAAUAUUGGUCAAUGGGCGGAAGCCUGAACCAGCCAUGCCGCGUGCAGGAAGACGGCCCUACGGGUUGUAAACUGCUUUUAUACGGGAAUAAACCUCAGUAUGUAUACUGAGCUGAAUGUACUGUAAGAAUAAGGAUCGGCUAACUCCGUGCCAGCAGCCGCGGUAAUACGGAGGAUCCGAGCGUUAUCCGGAUUUAUUGGGUUUAAAGGGUGCGUAGGUGGCUUUUUAAGUCAGGGGUGAAAGACGGUAGCUUAACUAUCGCAGUGCCUUUGAUACUGAAGAGCUUGAAUACACUAGAGGUAGGCGGAAUGUGACAAGUAGCGGUGAAAUGCAUAGAUAUGUCACAGAACACCAAUUGCGAAGGCAGCUUACUAUGGUGUUAUUGACACUGAGGCACGAAAGCGUGGGGAUCAAACAGGAUUAGAUACCCUGGUAGUCCACGCCCUAAACGAUGAAUACUCGAUGUUGGCGAUAUACGGUCAGCGUCUAAGCGAAAGCGUUAAGUAUUC